ACAAUUCAAUUUCAGUUCCAAAAUUCAGUUUUUUAGAACUUACAUCCGGUUCCGGUUCAAGAGUAUAUAAUAGAACUACGUUUUACUAGCGGACCGAAAGUGUUACUGACGGGAAUCUACAGCGUCUUGAGCUGAAUUAAGACUUCGGAAGUCAAUCGUCAUGUCGAAUGACCAGCGGAUAAACUCUCAGGAUGAACGGUGCCGUUACCAAAGGUUAUGAGGAAGAUGUAGGAAAUAGAACAUCAGUGUACGUUCACACAGCGCACUCCAUUACCGAAGUAUGGAUACAAAUCUGCCCCUCAUAAUAAGGGAAUAAAAUAUGUGCUGAUUCCUGAGGCAAUGAAAGAUUUCUUUUCGAAGGACACGAGGGCUUUAGUCGCCCACACCACAAGAAAUGUUUGUAGUGUCAUUAAGAACUUUUAAAGAGCAGCCUUCGCAGUUCAGAGGUGAGAGUGAAGAAGAACUAGAGAAAAAUUACCAGCUGUGGUUUUGUCUAACAGGUAAAAAUUCAUGGCCUUCCUCGUGGCUCCUCCUACAUAUCAAUGCUGAGCACACCCACAAGAACACGCAGGUGCCUGAUUAUUAGCAGAUGUAAACUACAAAUGCACGUGUGUUUCCACUUCCCUCGUCACCAUCAUGUGUGUUUAUUGUGGAAGUUUUCCUUCUUUCAAUGUCGUCUCUUA
ensembl:lncRNA